GACGUUGCACACAACAAGACUUAUUUUAUUCGAUGUGUCUAGAGGAGGGUAUUUGGUGCAAUGUAGCUUUGAGUCUGUUGGUCUAUUUACUAGAGCAAGCUAAGAAAUUGGACAAGGAAUGUUUAUGUGGUGGAAUGUACAUCACUAGAUUAGUUAAGAAUUUACAGGUUUUUAAUGAAUUUUCGGCAAUGACACUGGAUGGGUUGCCAAAAUUGAUGGUCUUGAAACCUUGAAGCAUAUGGACAAGGACAAAUGCAU
rnacentral:lncRNA from 1 species